rnacentral:rRNA from 1 species
UACGAAGGGGGCUAGCGUUAAUCGGAAUUACUGGGCGUAAAGCGUGCGCAGGCGGUUUUGUAAGUCUGACGUGAAAUCCCCGGGCUCAACCUGGGAAUUGCGUUGGAGACUGCAAGGCUGGAGUCUGGCAGAGGGGGGGUAGAAUUCCACGUGUAGCAGUGAAAUGCGUAGAGAUGUGGAGGAACACCGAUGGCGAAGGCAGCCCCCUGGGUCAAGACUGACGCUCAUGCACGAAAGCGUGGGGAGCAAAC